rnacentral:rRNA from 1 species
AGCAGUAGCCGCGGUAAUACGAAGGGGGCGAGCGUUGCUCGGAAUGACUGGGCGUAAAGGGCGCGUAGGUGGCGUGCACAGUCAGAUGUGAAAUUCCUGGGCUCAACCUGGGGGCUGCAUUUGAUACGUGCGUGCUAGAGUGUGGAAGAGGGUCGUGGAAUUCCCAGUGUAGAGGUGAAAUUCGUAGAUAUUGGGAAGAACACCGGUGGCGAAGGCGGCGACCUGGUCCAUUACUGACGCUGAGGCGCGAAAGCGUGGGGAGCAAACAGGAUUAGAUACCCCUGUAGUCCCUGUCUCUUAUAC